rnacentral:lncRNA from 1 species
AUGUUGGUGGUGGUAUAUGUUGGUGGUGGUAUAUGUUGGUGGUGGUAUAUGUUGGUGGUGGUAUAUGUUGGUGGUGUUAUAUGUUGGUGGUGGUAUAUGUUGGUGGUGGUAUAUGUUGGUGGUGGUAUAUGUUGGUGGUGGUAUAUGUUGGUGGUGGUAUAUGUUGGUGGUGGUAUAUGUUGUUGGUGGUAUAUGUUGGUGGUGGUAUAUGUUGGUGGAGGUAUAUGUUGGUGGUGGUAUAUGUUGGUGGUGGUAUAUGUUGGUGGUGGUAUAUGUUGGUGGUGGUAUAUGUUGGUGGUGGUAUAUGUUGUUGGUGGUAUAUGUUGGUGGUGGUAUAUGUUGGUGGAGGUAUAUGUUGGUGGUGGUAUAUGUUGGUGGUGGUAUAUGUUGGUGGAGGUAUAUGUUGGUGGUGGUAUAUGUUGGUGGUGGUAUAUGUUGGUGGUGGUAUAUGUUGGUGGUGGUAUAUGUUGGUGGUGGUGGUAUAUGUUGGUGGUGGUAUAUGUUGGUGGUGGUAUAUGUUGGUGGUGGUAUAUGUUGGUGGUGGUAUAUGUUGGUGGUGGUAUAUGUUGGUGGUGGUAUAUGUUGGUGGUGGUAUAUGUUGGUGGUGGUAUAUGUUGGUGGUGGUAUAUGUUGGUGGUGGUAUAUGUUGGUGGUGGUAAAUGUUGGUGGUGUUAUAUGUUGGUGGUGGUAUAUGUUGGUGGUGGUAUAUGUUGGUGGUGGUAUAUGUUGGUGGUGGUAUAUGUUGGUGGUGGUAUAUGUUGGUGGUGGUAUAUGUUGGUGGUGGUAUAUGUUGGUGGUGGUAAAUGUUGGUGGUGUUAUAUGUUGGUGGUGGUAUAUGUUGGUGGUGGUAUAUGUUGGUGGUGGUAUAUGUUGGUGGAGGUAUAUGUUGGUGGUGGCAUAUGUUGGUGGUGGUAUAUGUUGGUGGUGGUAUAUGUUGGUGGUGGUAUAUGUUGGUGGUGGUAUAUGUUGGUGGUGGUAUAUGUUGGUGGUGGUAUAUGUUGGUGGUGGUAUAUGUUGGUGGUGGUAUAUGUUGGUGGAGGUAUAUGUUGGUGGUGGUAUAUGUUGAUGGUGGUAUAUGUUGGUGGUGGUAUAUGUUGGUGGUGGUAUAUGUUGGUGGUGGUAUAUGUUGGUGGUGGUAUAUGUUGGUGGUGGUGGUAUAUGUUGGUGGUGGUAUAUGUUGGUGGUGGUAUAUGUUGGUGGUGGUAUAUGUUGGUGGUGGUAUAUGUUGGUGGUGGUAUAUGUUGGUGGUGGUAUAUGUUGGUGGUGGUGGUAUAUGUUGGUGGUGGUAUAUGUUGGUGGUGGUAUAUGUUGGUGGUGGUAUAUGUUGGUGGAGGUAUAUGUUGGUGGUGGUAUAUGUUGGUGGUGGUAUAUGUUGGUGGUGGUAUAUGUUGGUGGUGA